rnacentral:rRNA from 1 species
GACGAACCGUGCAAACGUUGUUCGGAAUCACUGGGCUUAAAGGGCGCGUAGGCGGGUCAGCAAGUCCGGGGUGAAAUCUUUCAGCUCAACUGGAAAAGUGCCUUGGAUACUGCUGGUCUUGAGGGAGGUAGGGGCCUGCGGAACUUCUGGUGGAGCGGUGAAAUGCGUUGAUAUCAGAAGGAACGCCGGUGGCGAAAGCGGCGGGCUGGACCUCUUCUGACGCUGAGGCGCGAAAGCUAGGGGAGCAAACGGG